ACAUAUGCAUUUUUGAAUUGAUAAAUGGAAAAAACUUAAAUAGUGCAAAGCUUUUAAAGACGGCGCAAGAAAUUCCAAAAGUAUUUCCUCUUGAGAGUCCGGACGUGUAUAUGAUUCAUCACCAAAACGGAGGUCCUAAAGGAAAAUUAUCGCACAGAUAUUAUAACAUAAGAAAAGCCAUUAAACUGGCUGAUGGCCAUAAAAGUCCAGGAGACAAAGAAAAUUCAGUAACCGAAAAUUUCAAUUUUAAUUCAAACGAGUCCUCGAAAUAUUUGGAUUUCUUUCGUAAUCUUUCGUAAAAAUCUUAGAAGCCCGCAGAAAGGAUCAACAGGAAGAAUCCGAAAAAAUUUGUAUAGAAAUAAAAACAUUGUUGAAGUUUUUGAUAAUUUUCCGUGCUUGAAAUUUACUACUGGAACGCAACUGCUGAAAAUUGAUUUUAACCUUCAAUAUGGCGAUAAAAUUGAUAUAAUUUAUACAACUUUUCCCAAAGUAAGAAAUGCCAUACUAGAGGAAUGUAAGGAAAGGCAGAUUAAAUUGGACACAAUUUAUGAAGAUCCUAAUCUCCUGGGUAUCAUUUCCCUAGUUUAUCUGUUUCCACCUAUUACUCUAAGAAAAACUAGAAAAAGAGGAAAUUGGAGGCCCACAAGAGGUGAAAUCCUAAGCAGUUUCUUUAUGCAGGUGGAAGUAUGUAUUUUUUAAAAUUUAGUUUAUGUGUAAAAAUAUGUAGGAUCUUUAGUUAAAAAGGCAUUUUUGUGUAUCUAAUUUUCGAAUAAAUGUUUUUUCAUAAUCAUUUUAUUCCAGUACUUUUUCAUCUAUUUUUUUAUGUAUAAUAAUUAAUACUUUUUGUUAUGGUAUGAUUGUAAAAAUAUAGUAUUUUGGUUUAA